CACAGCUUGUCCUUCCUGCCCGCGUCUGAGUGGCUGGCGUCGAGGGCGGAAUUAAAGCUUCUGCGUCUGACUGGUUGGAAAAGCCGCUCAUCCCGUACCACUCCACCCUACCGACAAGACCGAGGUGGAGGGUUUGGAGCGCCCGGUGAGCUUGCCGGAGCGCGUGUCGGAGGCCGCAUGGGCCUUGCCUCGCUACGGACCGAUGUAAUUCCACUGAGAGGAAGGAUAACGGGGGUAGUAGGGCUGCACGGGGACCACGCGCUCCCUGGGGACUCUAGCCGGCCGAGGGAGGCCUUCACUCUGGGGCUCUGGUGUCCCUGUAGCUGAUGGCGGCAACCGGGGCCAAACCUGCCUGCCCUUUCCCGUUACCGGGCACGGCUGUGCGGUGGGAAUUUGAGUUUGCUGCUGUUGCAAUUCCGGCAGAGCCGAGCUUCCACUGAGAAGAGUACGAACGGUCUAGUGUGUCCGAGAACUUGUGGCUCUAAAGUUUGAAGUCGAUCGACUUGGCGUCGCUGCGUUCCUUUGUAUGUUCUUUCCCCGUUGUGUCCAAACUAAAGGAUGGAGCGAGCA